rnacentral:rRNA from 1 species
GUCCUUUAGUUAAAAAUAAUUUAAGGUCUAACCUGCCCAUUGAUUAAAUUAAAAGGCCGCAGUAAUUUGACUGUGCAAAGGUAGCAUAAUCAUUAGUUUUUUAAUUAAAAGCUUGUAUGAAUGGUUGGACGAGAUAAAAUCUGUCUCUUUAUAAUAAAUAGAAUUUAAUUUUUAAGUUAAAAAGCUUAAAUAUUUAUAAAAGACGAGAAGACCCUAUAGAUCUUAAUAUAAUUUUUUUUAGUAUUAAUAAAGAAAAAUUUAUUUAUUAGAAAAAAUUUUAUUUUAUUGGGGUAAUAAAAAGAUUAAUAAAAUUCUUUAUAAUUUAACAAAAAUUAUUGGUUUUUUGAUCCAUUAUUAAUGAUUAUAAGAUUAAGUUACCUUAGGGAUAACAGCGUAAUUUUUUUAGAGAGUUCAUAUCAAUAAAAAAGUUUGCGACCUCGAUGUUGGAUUAAAAGUAAUCUUAGGUGCAGAAGUUUAAGAUUUUGGUCUGUUCGACCAUUGAAUUUUUACAUGAUCUGAGUUUAGACCGGCGUAAGCCAGGUUGGUUUCUAUCUUUAUUAAUUUAUUAUAUUUUAGUACGAAAGGACCAAAUAUAUAAUAUAUUUAUAUUUAUUUUUUGAAUA